rnacentral:rRNA from 1 species
GACGAACGCUGGCGGCGUGCCUAAUACAUGCAAGUAGAACGCUGAAGAGAGGAGCUUGCUCUUCUUGGAUGAGUUGCGAACGGGUGAGUAACGCGUAGGUAACCUGCCUUGUAGCGGGGGAUAACUAUUGGAAACGAUAGCUAAUACCGCAUAACAAUGGAUGACACAUGUCAUUUAUUUGAAAGGGGCAAUUGCUCCACUACAAGAUGGACCUGCGUUGUAUUAGCUAGUAGGUGAGGUAAUGGCUCACCUAGGCGACGAUACAUAGCCGACCUGAGAGGGUGAUCGGCCACACUGGGACUGAGACACGGCCCAGACUCCUACGGGAGGCAGCAGUAGGGAAUCUUCGGCAAUGGGGGCAACCCUGACCGAGCAACGCCGCGUGAGUGAAGAAGGAUUUCGGAUCGUAAAGCUCUGUUGUAAGUCAAGAACGGGUGUGAGAGUGGAAAGUUCACACUGUGACGGUAGCUUACCAGAAAGGGACGGCUAACUACGUG